rnacentral:misc_RNA from 1 species
AAGUCGUAACAAGGUUUCCGUAGGUGAACCUGCGGAAGGAUCAUUAACAAAUCCAUAAAUGUGUGAGUGUUUUGCUCACAUAAUUUUAACCGGAUCUCCGAGAGGAGAUUCGACUGUAGAAGAACUGUGUGAACUAUUCUCUACAGAAAUAGGCUAUGAUGUUAUGUCUUAUAAAAUUAUAAAAAUAAUUAUAAAUAACUUUUAACAAUGGAUCUCUUGGCUCUU